rnacentral:rRNA from 1 species
AAAGCGUGCGCAGGCGGUUUUGUAAGACUGUCGUGAAAUCCCCGGGCUCAACCUGGGAAUGGCGAUGGUGACUGCAAGGCUAGAGUUUGGCAGAGGGGGGUAGAAUUCCACGUGUAGCAGUGAAAUGCGUAGAUAUGUGGAGGAACACCGAUGGCGAAGGCAGCCCCCUGGACCUGUACUGACGCUCAUGCACGAAAGCGUGGGGAGCAAACAGGAUUAGAUACCCCAGU